UACGAAGGGGGCUAGCGUUGCUCGGAAUCACUGGGCGUAAAGCGCACGUAGGCGGAUUGCUAAGUCAGGGGUGAAAUCCUGGAGCUCAACUCCAGAACUGCCCUUGAUACUGGCGGUCUCGAGUCCGGGAGAGGUGAGUGGAACUGCGAGUGUAGAGGUGAAAUUCGUAGAUAUUCGGAAGGACACCAGUGGCGAAGGCGGCUCACUGGACUGGUAUUGACGCUGAUGUGCGAAAGCGUGGGGAGCAAACAGG
rnacentral:rRNA from 1 species